CUUUCUUCCUCUUUCUCUCCCUCACGCCCGACACACGAACACAGCCCCCCCCCCCCCCACCUCUCUCCUGUAGCCCGAACCCCUCUUUUUCACGCAGGCCCUCCCCUGUUCCUGCACCCGAUUCCCUCUCCCUUUUUCCUUCUCUUCCAUUUUCUCCCUCUCUCUUUAUCACUCGCACACCCGAGAAAGUGAUACCGUGUGAGUGAUCGAGUGAGAGCUGGGUUGAGUGCGAAUCUGGAUGUGUGGAAGGUAGAUUCUUGGCCGUUGGGGGAGCGGUUUUUGGAGCUUGGUGGCUGGGCCAUCAUCGGGUCUUUGGAGGCAGCAACUUGGGCAUGGAUCCCGACCCUAUUUCGGGUCAUGUCAUAAUUGGAGACUUCAAUGGGUUCUUCAAUGUAGAGUUGGAGUCGUGAGUCCAAUGCAGCCAGAUGAUGUCUCUUGGCUGCAGGUACUCGGGUCGUAGUUGAUGGGGUCGUAGACGUGCAUUUGGGAUAUUAUGACCGGAGCUCGCCGCAAUGGUCGUAAUUGCGGGACCAUGGGCGUCCUCAGUUUUAUAGGUUUUGUUAUGGCUUGUGACGCAUGUGUUACUCGUGAUUGUAUAAAGCCAUUUCUGUUAUGUAUUUAUAUUGAGGAAAGACUUAAACACAUAGAUGUUAAAUGGCUCUUGUUGUUAUUAAUUUAUGAUAGAUGUUAAGAUGUGAUUUCCGCUA